CGCAUCUGUGCAUGCAGCAUAUCAAUAAGCGGAGGAAAAGAAACUAACAAGGAUUCCCCUAGUAACGGCGAGUGAAGCGGGAAGAGCUCAAAUUUGAAAUCUUAAAGGGUUUCCCUUUACGAAUUGUAGUUUAAAGAAGUGUUUUCUGUUGAGGUUUUGGUAAAAGUUCUUUGGAAUAGGACAUCAUAGAGGGUGAGAAUCCCGUAUUUGACCUUUACUUUCAACUUUGUGAUACACUUUCAAAGAGUCGGAUUGUUUGGGAAUGCAGUCCAAAAUGGGUGGUAAAUUUCAUCUAAAGCUAAAUAUUGGCGAGAGACCGAUAGCGAACAAGUACCGUGAGGGAAAGAUGAAAAGAACUUUGAAAAGAGAGUUAAACAGGUACGUGAAAUUGUCAAAAGGGAAGCGUUUGACACCAGUGUUGUUUUUCUGAAAAUCAAUUAAAGAACUGUUUAUGCUAAGUUGUUUAGACUUUAUCAGCUAAUCUGCUUAGUUUUGAGCUUUUCUUUAAUGCACUUUUCAGUUAACAAGUCAACAUCAAUUUCUUUUGCUGUAAAAAAGCUUGAGGAAGGUGGCUUGAGAUUCGUCUUAAGUGUUUAUAGCCUCUUGCCUAUGCAGUCGGAGAGAUUGAGGUCUGCAGCGUAGAUCCUUCGGGGCUAAAUGCAUUUGUGCUAAGUUAUAGCAUUUUAUAGACAACUUGUUGACUAUGAUUUGUCUUGUAGCUUACUCGCUUAUGUUAUUUUACCUACGCUUAGGAUGUUGAAUCUGUGCGAGACUAC
rnacentral:rRNA from 1 species